rnacentral:rRNA from 1 species
UACGUAGGGGGCAAGCGUUGUCCGGAUUUAUUGGGCGUAAAGAGCGUGUAGGCGGCCGUGUAGGUCCGUUGUGAAAACUCGAGGCUCAACCUCGAGACGUCGAUGGAAACCACACGGCUAGAGUCCGGAAGAGGAGAGUGGAAUUCCGGGUGUAGCGGUGAAAUGCGCAGAUAUCAGGAAGAACACCUAUGGCGAAGGCAGCUCUCUGGGACGGUACUGACGCUGAGACGCGAAAGCGUGGGGAGCGAACAGG